rnacentral:lncRNA from 1 species
CAGGUUUCACCUUAAGGCACAAGAUUCAGAAUGUUUGAAAGCGUAAGUGUCAAUUCAGAACAGAAGGAAAAAAAGGGAGACAAAAAGAAGUGAACUCAAAAUGAUGAAGCGGACAAAAACACGGAUUGCUCAAAAUAUAAUUGAAGUCACAAGCUCCACACAUCCCACUUUAUUUCAAAAUUGAAGACUGAGCCAGUAGUUGUAGCUAACGAGCAUCAAGAUUCAGAUCGGAGUCUGCCGCAAAAGAUAGCCAAG